UCAGCUGUUAUCAGUCAGUCACUUUGCUACU
rnacentral:piRNA from 1 species